rnacentral:rRNA from 1 species
GACGAACGCUGGCGGCGUGCUUAACACAUGCAAGUCGAACGGUAAGGCCCUUCGGGGUACACGAGUGGCGAACGGGUGAGUAACACGUGGGUGAUCUGCCCUGCACUUCGGGAUAAGCCUGGGAAACAGGGUCUAAUACCGGAUAGGACCAUUGCCUUCAUGGGUGGUGGUGGAAAGCUUUUGCGGGGUGGGAUGGGCCCGCGGCCUAUCAGCUUGGUGGUGGGGUGAUGGCCUACCAAGGCGACGACGGGUAGCCGGCCUGAGAGGGUGGCCGGCCACACUGGGACUGAGAUACGGCCCAGGCGCCUACGGGAGGCAGCAGUGGGGAAUAUUGCGCAAUGGGCGCAAGGCUGAUGCAGCGACGCCGCGUGAGGGAUGACGGCCUUCGGGUUGUAAACCUCUUUCAGCACCGACGAAGCGCAAGUGACGGUAGGUGCAGAAGGAGGACCGGCCAACUACGUGCCAGCAGCCGCCGUAA